UGCAGAAGUGCUGGUUGAAGGACCCCC
rnacentral:piRNA from 1 species